rnacentral:lncRNA from 1 species
GGGUUUCUUUCCCUUUGUAGUUUAGUCGAAGUUCGGCCGACUAUUUCUUUGUUUAGGAGCUUCUACACCUUCAAACGCCAUCUCUUGGUAAGGGAUUGGUGGUACUUCUCCUCCAGUUCAGUAGAAAGGGGUUGCUGAAAGGUGCUCCCUCUUCCAUCCAUAACUAGAAGGAGAGGUUCUUCUAUGUCCGAUGCCCAACCUUAGAGCUAGGGUUACCCCCUUGGGGUUCUCUGAGGGAUUCCGCCCGUCGGGCCUCCAGCCGGAAAAGGAUGACUUCAAGGCCUCAAAAAAGCUCGAGGCCUAUCGAGCCCCCCUCUUCUCCAAACUUUUGAGGGAGCAAUUUUUGUUCAACAUCAGCCUGAGCCCCCUUAAUCCUGCUGGUAUCGAUUCAUCAUUUCAUUCAAUUUUUUUUCAUCUCUGAGCCAUGUCAAUUUCUUUUUAUCACAGACAUGGACGCAAGCGUGGCUCGGAGGCUAGCUCAGGGUCUCAAGACCCACAAGAGGAAAGAUGCCUCGACUUCGGGGUCGGUGAAGAGAGCCAGGACAGAAGCGACAAGCUCAGCCGCACCUGCCCCGGUGGCCGUCGCCUUCGAAAUCCCUUCCAACACCGAACCCGUAAUCCCCUGAGCCCUUUCAAGGAG